rnacentral:ncRNA from 25 species
UUGUUUAUAAAUUUUACAAACUUUAUACUGCGCCCAAAUACAGCAAGUUCGGGAAACUGGUGAAAAUCCAGCACUGCCCCCGCAACGGUCAUAAUGAAACAUCAUUCUGUUCAACCUCGAUAUCUUGACCAAUCUGAGGAUGAAAUCCACUGCAUCAUUGAUGUGGGAAGGUGGAAUGGCGAAUCAAAGAUUCUAUAUUUAAGUCCGGAUACCAACUUGUUGUGCCCACUCACUC